CUGCGCAGACUCUGUCGGAUUCUCCGCCCUCAACACUGCCCUUAAAGGUGCCGCACCCCCAGCCUGCGCUGUCAAUCAACCGGCCACCCAGGCUUGGACACCGCCCUAGCAGAACUUGAGUCAGGGCAAAGGAAACAGAGUCCCCAGAAUGCUUUGAUUCUGUCAUGCAAAUAAAUCUGCUCAAGCCAAAGAAGCUAAGCCCAGAGGCCAAGUUCCUAAUCUUCCUCCUGCCUAGCCACAUUCCAGGCUUUAACUUGGACCAAUUGUAAGAGGAACAGAACACGAGUAUCUAAAGAGGAGACUUGGAAUUUUCCAGUUAGAAUGAACAUUAGCACCCAGUUGAACUCAUAAUCAAAAGGAAUCCUCCAAAGUAGGUACUUCAUACAUACCGGCUAACUUUACUGUGCCAUUACUGAGCUCUUUUUCCCAUGGAGAGACCCCGAGGUGACCAAAUAAUGCCCAGAACUGGGACUGGCAUAGUUCUUUAAUGGAAGAUGAGCUGGAGAAGGAAAUGGCAAAGCACUCUUUCUUUACCAAGAAAACCCUAAAUGUCAUCAUGAAAGUUCAGACCUGACUGAAAGGACUCAAAAAUCAAACUGCCCCGGUUAUGCCAUAACUGGUGUAUUAUUCAAUUCUGGGAUUCCAUCCAGUAGGAGGAAAGGGAGAGAUUCAGUCAGGCUCCUUCUCUUUGAUGUUCAACUCUCCUUCCUGGUCCUCUAAUAUCCAAUAAUAAUAGUGGCCCCCAAAUGGAAAAUAGUAGCUCCCACUGUACUUACCAAUUUGUUCUUUAAUAUAACCUUUGGCCUUAAA